GUGGUGUGUGUAGCGGUUAUCACGUGUGCUUCACACGCACAAGGUCUCCAGUUCGUUCCCGGGCGGGAACU
rnacentral:tRNA from 1 species